rnacentral:rRNA from 1 species
GACGAACGCUGGCGGCGCGCUUAACACAUGCAAGUCGAGCGAGAACCAGCCCUUCGGGGCUGGGGAGAGCGGCGAACGGGUGAGUAACACGUGGGUAAUCAACCCUCGGUACUGGGAUAGCCCGGGGAAACCCGGAUUAAUACCGGAUGGCCCUUCGAAUCCUCGGAUUUGAAGGAAAAGGUAGCUUCGGCCUCCGACCGAGGACGAGCCCGCGGCGGAUUAGCUUGGUGGUGGGGUAACGGCCUACCAAGGCCACGAUCCGUAGCUGGUCUGAGAGGAAGAUCAGCCACACUGGGACUGAGAGACGGCCCAGACUUCUACGGAAGGCAGCAGUGGGGAAUCUUGCGCUAAUGCGGGAAACCGUGACGCAGCGACGCCGCGUGGGGGAAGAAGGCCUUCGGGUUGUAAACCUCUUUCAGGAGGGACGAAGCUACUCGGGUUAAUAGCCCAGAGGGUGACGGUACCUCCAGAAGAAGCCCCGGCUAACUACGUGCCAGCAGCCGCCGUAA